rnacentral:lncRNA from 1 species
AUGAAUUUAUCGGAGAAACGUCCAAAUCCAGCUGCCCUGGAAUCUAAACGAGCUCUGAUAUCAAGAGAAAAUCAGCUGCAACACUUUGGCAUCCAAACCUCUGCCCUGUUUCAAACCGAGGUCACGACUGAAGAGCUUUUUCCAGAAGUGGAGUGUAGCUGCAGCUCCAACAACCCGAUCUUCUGGGAGUUGCUCUAAAUACCUCAUAGCCUCCAGGAAGUGGAAGCAGACGGAGCCCAGGUGUACAACAGCUGACUGGCACAGACACAAGCUCCUUUUGUUGAAGAACCUAUUUUUGUCUGUCCUACAGUCAUCAUCACUGUAUAAACUACACUGUCUUCAACUUUUAGCAAGAAGCUAAUAAAUGCGUUCAGUGAAAGCCCGAGGUCACUAAGUAAAAAAAAGUAAAAAUUUUCAUCAAAGUAGUUUUCCAUUAAUCAAAUGGGCUGUAAUUUAUGGCCAAAGUCAAAAACUGACAGCCCCAACAAGCCAAAUGAAGGUAAAUGAAGUUUCUGGCAGAGUGCUGCUGAAAUAAUUUACAAUUAUCUUGUAAAUGAGAUUCAAUCUUUACAUUAUUAAAAAUGUGUAUAAAUAAG